UACGUAGGUGGCAAGCGUUGUCCGGAUUUAUUGGGUUUAAAGGGUGCGUAGGCGGUCUAUUAAGUCAGCGGUGAAAUACUCCAUCUUAACUGGAGGGGUGCCAUUGAUACUGAUGGACUUGAGUCAAGUCGAGGUAGGCGGAAUUGACGGUGUAGCGGUGAAAUGCUUAGAUAUCGUCAAGAACACCAAUAGUGAAGACAGCUUACUGGGCUUAAACUGACGCUGAGGCACGAAAGUGUGGGGAUCAAACAGG
rnacentral:rRNA from 1 species